rnacentral:rRNA from 1 species
AUGAUUGGCUUGGAUAGGAGUGAUAGCUUCACAUAUCUUGUGGAAAGAAUCGUGAACAGGCUGAAAGGUUGGAAGGAGAAAAUAUUAUCACUUGGAGGGAAGGAAAUUUUAUUAAAGGCGGUAAUCCAAUCAAUUCCUGUGUUUGCUAUGGCAGUGUUUAAAAUCCCAAAUUGUAAGGAGAUUACAGAUGCCAUGGCGGGUUUCUGGUGGGGUGAUACCGAGGAAGAGAAAAAAAUGCAUUGGCUGGCUUGGUGGUGGUUGUGUCUCCCAAAGGUAAAUGGUGGUAUGGGGUUUAGAGACUUGCAUGCUUUUAACUUAGCAAUGUUGGCCAAGCAGAGUUGGCGAAUGUGUACCCACCCUAAAACACUUUGUGCAACGGUCCUACGAGCAAAGUAUUUU